UUUCGUCAGCAGGAGGGAAGGGUUUGACACGUUGUUGUUCUACGCACGCAACAACGUGUCAAACCCUUCCCUCCUGCUGACGAAA
rnacentral:pre_miRNA from 1 species